AGAAGAAGAUCGUCUUCUCUCUCUCUCUCCCUCAAGCUUGGAGCUUUGUUUAGAGGUCUCUGAACGCGUUGACGAAGACGGUUCGUCGAUCCGACGAGCGAGUGUGAAGAUAUUGCCGAAACUGAUACUUGAGGGUUCGCUUUGCCCCGAGGAGUUAAAGCGACGUACAAGGACCGCGACGUCGAGUUUGUUAACUACGCGGCACUACCAAAAGGUCCGAGUUCGAGUGUCCCCGGCGAGCGUGAGGAUCGUGGCAAGGGCAUAGCGCCCUAGUGAUAUAUGUACAUAGCUAGCUUUAUUUCCUUUUGCAUUAGCUCUAUCCUGUACUUAUAUUGAGAGUAGAUGUUGUAUAGGGUGAGGUUUUGAGAGUCAUUGUACAUAUGUUUUGGAAGAAUGUAAAAGAUGAAAUAAUUGUAUAUAGUUGAAUGGAGGUAAUAGAAUAGUUAAGUAUCUCUCUUUUAUCA